rnacentral:rRNA from 1 species
CGCCCUUGAAAUACCACCCUUUAAUGGCUGGUGUUCUAACGUGGGCCCGUAAUCCGGGUUGCGGACAGUGUCUGGUGGGUAGUUUGACUGGGGCGGUCUCCUCCUAAAGAGUAACGGAGGAGCACGAAGGUCAGCUAAUCCUGGUCGGACAUCAGGAGGUUAGUGCAAUGGCAUAAGCUGGCUUGACUGCGAGCGUGACGGCGCGAGCAGGUGCGAAAGCAGGUCAUAGUGAUCCGGUGGUUCUGAAUGGAAGGGCCAUCGCUCAACGGAUAAAAGGUACUCCGGGGAUAACAGGCUGAUACCGCCCAAGAGUUCAUAUCGACGGCGGUGUUUGGCACCUCGAUGUCGGCUCAUCACAUCCUGGGGCUGAAGUAGGUCCCAAGGGUAUGGCUGUUCGCCAUUUAAAGUGGUACGCGAGCUGGGUUUAGAACGUCGUGAGACAGUUCGGUCCCUAUCUGCCGUGGGCGCUGGAGAACUGAGGGGGGCUGCUCCUAGUACGAGAGGACCGGAGUGGACGCAUCACUGGUGUUCGGGUUGUCAUGCCAAUGGCACUGCCCGGUAGCUAAAUGCGGAAGAGAUAAGUGCUGAAAGCAUCUAAGCACGAAACUUGCCCCGAGAUGAGUUCUCCCUGACUCCUUGAGAGUCCUGAAGGAACGUUGAAGACGACGACGUUGAUAGGCCGGGUGUGUAAGCGCAGCGAUGCGUUGAGCUAACCGGUACUAAUGAACCGUGAGGCUUAACCUUACAACGCCGAAG